CGUAGGGUGCGAGCGUUGUCCGGAAUUAUGGGGCGUAAAGAGCUCGUAGGCGGUUUGUCGCGUCGACUGUGAAAACCUGGGGCUUAACUCUGGGCCUGCAGUCGAUACGGGCAGACUUGAGUUCGGUAGGGGAGACUGGAAUUCCUGGUGUAGCGGUGAAAUGCGCAGAUAUCAGGAGGAACACCGGUGGCGAAGGCGGGUCUCUGGGCCGAUACUGACGCUGAGGAGCGAAAGCGUGGGGAGCGAACAGGAUUAGAUACCCUGGUAGUCCACGCUGUAAACGUUGGGCGCUAGGUGUGGGGAACCUCCAAGUUUUCCGUGCCGUAGCUAACGCAUUAAGCGCCCCGCCUGGGGAGUACGGCCGCAAGGCUA
rnacentral:rRNA from 1 species